CGGACGGGUGAGUAAUGUCUGGGAAACUGCCCGAUGGAGGGGGAUAACUACUGGAAACGGCAGCUAAUACCGCAUAACGUCGCAAGACCAAAGAGGGGGACCUUAGGGCCUCUUGCCAUCGGAUGUGCCCAGAUGGGAUUAGCUAGUAGGUGGGGUAAUGGCUCACCUAGGCGACGAUCCCUAGCUGGUCUGAGAGGAUGACCAGCCACACUGGAACUGAGACACGGUCCAG
rnacentral:rRNA from 1 species